rnacentral:rRNA from 1 species
UUUAUGGAGAGUUUGAUCCUGGCUCAGGAUGAACGCUGGCGGCGUGCCUAAUACAUGCAAGUCGAGCGAACGGACGAGAAGCUUGCUUCUCUGAUGUUAGCGGCGGACGGGUGAGUAACACGUGGAUAACCUACCUAUAAGACUGGGAUAACUUCGGGAAACCGGAGCUAAUACCGGAUAAUAUUUUGAACCGCAUGGUUCGAAAGUGAAAGACGGUCUUGCUGUCACUUAUAGAUGGAUCCGCGCUGCAUUAGCUAGUUGGUAAGGUAACGGCUU